rnacentral:lncRNA from 1 species
GUAGAUUAGGUGAGUGUGGGUUCGUUGAUGUUGAUCAUGGAGUCCUUUCAUCAUUGUGUGAUUUAGUCAUUUUACUUUCUUGGGAGAAUGUAAGUUUGCUGCCACGGUUAGCAGAGGUGAGACAAUGCAUUUCUUUUAUUUAAUUGAGCAAUGGAGAAUGAAAAGUGAUUGGAAGGGUGUAGUUAGAUGAAUGACGGCUUGAUUAGGAGUUGGUG